rnacentral:rRNA from 1 species
AGUCUAGUGGCGAACGGGUGAGUAACACGUGAGCAACCUGCCCAGAAGCAGGGGAUAAGCCACCGAAAGGUGGUCUAAUACCGUAUGUGAUUCCAAGGGGCAUCUCUUGAGGAUCAAAGCGGGGGCCUUUUAGACCUCGCACUUCUGGAUGGGCUCGCGGCCUAUCAGCUAGUUGGUGAGGUAACGGCUUACCAAGGCGACGACGGGUAGCUGGUCUGAGAGGAUGAUCAGUCACACUGGAACUGAGACACGGUCCAGACACCUACGGGUGGCAGCAGUCGAGAAUCAUUCACAAUGGGCGAAAGCCUGAUGGUGCGACGCCGCGUGGAGGAUGACAGCCCUAGGGUUGUAAACUCCUGUCAUGAGAGAGUAAAGACUUACCGUUAAUACCGGUGGGUCCUGAUAGUAUCUCAAGAGGAAGGGACGGCUAACUUCGUG